rnacentral:rRNA from 1 species
UACGGAAGGCAGCAGUGGGGAAUAUUGCACAAUGGGCGCAAGCCUGAUGCAGCCAUGCCGCGUGUAUGAAGAAGGCCUUCGGGUUGUAAAGUACUUUCAGUCGUGAGGAAGGUGUUAAGGUUAAUAACCUUAGCAAUUGACGUUAGCGACAGAAGAAGCACCGGCUAACUCCGUGCCAGCAGCCGCGGUAAUACGGAGGGUGCGAGCGUUAAUCGGAAUUACUGGGCGUAAAGGGCACGCAGGCGGUUAAUUAAGUUGGAUGUGAAAUCCCCGGGCUUAACCUGGGAAUGGCAUUCAAGACUGGUUAGCUAGAGUCUUGUAGAGGGGGUAGAAUUCCAUGUGUAGCGGUGAAAUGCGUAGAGAUGUGGAGGAAUCCGGUAGCGAAGGCGGCCCCUGGACAAAGACUGACGCUCAUGUGCGAAAGCGUGGGGAGCAAACGAGGGAUUAGAUACC